rfam:Picea glauca, whole genome shotgun sequence.
GAGCGAACUAGCCGGUCUGUUGGCGAUGGCUUAGUUUGCUUUUGAGAGGAGGCAAUAUCGACGAAGCAAAUCUCCGUGCUCUUGCGAUUCUCGAUUCGUAAUGUGCCUCGAACACUUUGCUACAUU